GCUCAGGACGAACGCUGGCGGCGUGCUUAACACAUGCAAGUCGAACGAUGAAGCCCAGCUUGCUGGGUGGAUUAGUGGCGAACGGGUGAGUAAUACGUGAGUAACCUGCCUUUAACUCUGGGAUAAGCCUUGGAAACGAGGUCUAAUACCGGAUACGACCAGUUCCCGCAUGGGAUGCUGGUGGAAAGGGUUUGUACUGGUUUUAGAUGGGCUCACGGCCUAUCAGCUUGUUGGUGAGGUAACGGCUCACCAAGGCGACGACGGGUAGCCGGCCUGAGAGGGUGACCGGCCACACUGGGACUGAGACACGGCCCAGACUCCUACGGGAGGCAGCAGUGGGGAAUAUUGCACAAUGGGCGCAAGCCUGAUGCAGCGACGCCGCGUGAGGGAUGAAUGCCUUCGGGUUGUAAACCUCUUUCAGCAGGGAAGAAGCGAAAGUGAC
rnacentral:rRNA from 1 species